GAUGAACGCUAGCGGCAGGCCUAACACAUGCAAGUCGAGGGAUAAGCCUUCGGGCUAAGACCGGCGCACGGGUGCGUAACGCGUAUACAAUCUGCCUUUUAUCCGGGGGAUAGCCCGAAGAAAUUUGGAUUAAUACCCUAUGGUAUAAGAGCACGGCAUCGUGCACUUAUUAAAGCUACGGCGGUAAAAGAUGAGUAUGCGUUCUAUUAGCUAGUUGGAGAGGUAACGGCUCCCCAAGGCGACGAUAGAUAGGGGUUCUGAGAGGGAUGUCCCCCACACUGGUACUGAGAUACGGACCAGACUCCUACGGGAGGCAGCAGUGAGGAAUAUUGGACAAUGGUCGGAAGACUGAUCCAGCCAUGCCGCGUGCAGGAUGACGGCCUUAUGGGUUGUAAACUGCUUUUGUAAGGGAAGAAUAAGGAGUACGUGUCCUUUGAUGACGGUACCUUACGAAUAAGCAUCGGCUAACUCCGUG
rnacentral:rRNA from 1 species